UAUACUUUACUGACUUUACUUUCAAACAGAAACCGAAACAAAAGCAUUUAGUUACUCAUUCAAAAGAUUCCUCUAUUUUCCUAUAAACCUGAGAUAACAGUCACAAAAGAGAAGAGUUAAUAGGAGGAGGAGAACAAGAGAGGAGAAGGAGCAGUCAAGUGUUCAUGGAGCAGUCAACAACUUUCCCGCAAAAGGAAACGAAAGACCAGGCAGCCAAGAGUACUUUGAAGGAGAAGAAAGCGAGGCUGUACAUUAUCAAACGAUGUAUUUUGAUGCUAAUAUGUUGGAGGGAAAAUGCAGAUUAAUAAUACUGAAGGUACUGCAGUUAUAUAGAUGGUGACUUGAAGAUGGGAUCUGUGAGACAAAGUCACUACAAAGAACACAUCAUUGAUCAUUUCAUCUAAAUUGAUCAAGUGAAAGUGCAGUAUGACUCUACAAAUCCAUCAGUAGGUUCCUGAAAUCUGAGAUUUACUAAUAGGCUUGAAAAGGGACAGGGUUUACAUUUUUAUAAAUUUUAAUGUAAAACUUACGUACCAAAAUUAGGAGAUUCUGAAAGUAGCAUCAAUCUGAGAAUAUUCAAUCCAUU
rnacentral:lncRNA from 1 species